AUGCAGAGAGCAAUCAGGGUGGUGUGGCCUGACUCAAACCAUAGGCUCUGUAUAUGGCACAUUCAGCAGAACAUUGUACGCCAUCUGCAUGAUGACGCGGUAAAGGAGGAAUUCCGAUCUUUCAUAUAUGAUACAUCUUCCAUUGAAGAGCAUGAGAGAAAAUGGUUACACUUCUUACAACGGAAUAAAGUAACAAGUGAGGACUCCUAG
rnacentral:rRNA from 1 species